CUUAAUGGUUUCUUUGUCCGUUGC
rnacentral:siRNA from 1 species